rnacentral:rRNA from 1 species
UGGGGAAUUUUGCACAAUGGGGGAAACCCUGAUGCAGCGACGCCGCGUGAUUUAGAAGGCCUUCGGGUUGUAAAAAUCUUUUUUACGGGAUGAAAAUGACAGUACCGUAAGAAUAAGGUCCGGCUAAAUACGUGCCAGCAGCCGCGGUAAUACGUAUGGACCGAGCGUUGUCCGGAAUCAUUGGGCGUAAAGGGUACGUAGGCGGCCUAGUAAGUUAGAAGUGAAAUAAUAUAGCUCAACUAUAUAAAGCUUUUAAAACUGCUAGGCUUGAGAGAUGGAAGGGAAAGUGGAAUUCCUAGUGUAGCGGUGAAAUGCGCAGAUAUUAGGAAGAAUACCGGUGGCGAAGGCGACUUUCUGGUCAUCAUCUGACGCUGAGGUACGAAAGCGUGGUAGCAAACAGG